UGGGGAAUUUUGGACAAUGGGCGCAAGCCUGAUCCAGCCAUGCCGCGUGCGGGAAGAAGGCCUUCGGGUUGUAAACCGCUUUUGUCAGGGAAGAAAUCUUCUGAGUUAAUACCUCGGGAGGAUGACGGUACCUGAAGAAUAAGCACCGGCUAACUACGUGCCAGCAGCCGCGGUAAUACGUAGGGUGCAAGCGUUAAUCGGAAUUACUGGGCGUAAAGCGUGCGCAGGCGGUUUUGUAAGACAGAGGUGAAAUCCCCGGGCUCAACCUGGGAACUGCCUUUGUGACUGCAAGGCUUGAGUGCGGCAGAGGGGGGAUGGAAUUCCGCGUGUAGCAGUGAAAUGCGUAGAUAUGCGGAGGAACACCGAUGGCGAAGGCAAUCCCCUGGGCCUGCACUGACGCUCAUGCACGAAAGCGUGGGGAGCAAACAGGAUUAGAUAGCCCUGGUAGUCCACGCCCUAAACGGAUGUCAACUGGUUGUUGGGAAGGUUCCUUCUCAGUAACGUAGCUAACGCGUGAAGUUGACCGCCUGGGGAGUACGGCCGCAAGGUU
rnacentral:rRNA from 1 species